rnacentral:rRNA from 1 species
UACAGAGGGUGCGAGCGUUAAUCGGAAUUACUGGGCGUAAAGCGCGCGUAGGCGGCUUUGCAAGUCGGGUGUGAAAUCCCCAGGCUUAACCUGGGAACUGCAUCCGAGACUGCAUUGCUAGAGUAUGGGAGAGGGAAGCGGAAUUUCUGGUGUAGCAGUGAAAUGCGUAGAUAUCAGAAGGAACAUCAGUGGCGAAGGCGGCUUCCUGGGCCAAUACUGACGAUCAGGUGCGAAAGCGUGGGGAGCAAACAGG